UGAUUUGAUGGUAUGUGGAGAGGAAGCCACGGCUAACUCUGUGCCAGCAGCCGCGGUAAUACAGAGGUGGCAAGCGUUGUUCGGAUUUACUGGGCGUAAAGCGUGCGUAGGGGGCCGGCAAAGUCUGAUGUGAAAUCUCACCGCUUACCGGUGAAACUGCAUUGGAUACUGGUCGGCUCGAGGAUCGGAGGGGAGAGCGGAAUUCCAGGUGUAGCGGUGAAAUGCGUAGAUAUCUGGAGGAACACCGGCGGCGAAGGCGGCUCUCUGGAAGAUUCCUGACCCUGAGGCACGAAGGCCGGGGGAGCGAACGGGAUUAGAUACCCCGGUAGUCCUGGCAGUAAACGUUGCUCACUAGGUGUUGGUGGAUUCGACCCCAUCAGUGCCGUAGCUAACGCGUUAAGUGAGCCGCCUGGGGAGUACGGUCGCAAGAUUAAAACUCAAAGAAAUUGACGGGGCCCCGCACAAGCGGUGGAGUAUGUGGCUUAAUUCGAUGCAACGCGAAGAACCUUACCUGGGCUUGACAUGCUUAGUUCAUCCGUGGAAACACGGUGGGUCGCAAGACCGAUUUGCACAGGUGCUGCAUGGCUGUCGUCAGCUCGUGUCGUGAGCUGUUUGGUUAAGUCCAGCAACGAGCGCAACCCUCGUGGCUAGUUACACGCUUCGGCUCACUAGUCAGACUGCCCUGUUCAACGGGGAGGAAGGUGGGGAUGACGUCAAGUCAGUAUGGCCCUUAUGCCCAGGGCUGCACACGUACUACAAUGCCCACUACAAAGGGACGCCAGACCGCGAGGUUCAGCUAAUCUCAGAAAAGUGGGCCCAGUUCGGAUUGGAGUCUGCAACUCGACUCCAGAAGCCGGAAUCGC
rnacentral:rRNA from 1 species